CGUGCGGUGCGUACAUUUAGCGUCUACUCUUACAUUUAAUAAUAACUGGUUUUUCAAUUUGUUCAAUACGCAUGUGUGUUUUUUUAUGUGUUAAUUUGAACAGAAAAGAUGGGGAUUAGGGAUACAUAGAUGAGAAAUCCCGAAGAAAGUACAUACAGAAAAAUAGCAACGAGUUUAGGUAAGUAUUAUGUAGUAAAGAAAACUCUAGCAAUGGAAGCAGAAUAGCAGUGGAAUUGUGGAAUUGUGGAAUAGCGAGGGCAGCAGUAGGAAAAGGGGACGUAAAUUGCGCGUGCGAGUUAUAAAGAGGGUGAAUAUGUAUGUACAACAUGGAGUAGUCGCAUGGAGGUCAACGCGACGCAUGCUCUGAAAUACUUUCCCAGGAUGAUAUUCUUCGGUGAGGUAAACCAGGCAGACCAUUCGAUCGUUACGAGGUGAAUCAGUGACCCAACGUAUUGCGAAGCACGAUUCGGAACAGGUGUAUCGAUUGUUAUAUCGUUCGUGUGAUAUUUUUUUUCUCGCGGAAAUAAAUAACACCACUAUCUUAUUUCAAUCCGUUAUACGUGAGCCGUAUUGAAAUUCAUUAAAAUUGAAUCGAAUAUUGGAAAAUCGAGCAUGGCAAACGAAGUUCAAUAGCCAAUUAUGGCGAGAUGAACAGGAUAUGAAAGGAUAGGGAUAGACAGGAUAUUUAAACCCUUCUGUAAAGCGAAUGCGCACCACCUGUAGCUCGAUAUCUACGUUCGAAAGGUCAACUGCCCCUUUGUCGUCGAGCUUCUCUAGUAGACAGGAAAGAAGGACGGACGAAAAAGAAAAAGAAG